rnacentral:rRNA from 1 species
CACGGGGGGAGCAAGCGUUGUUCGGAAUCACUGGGCGUAAAGGGCGUGUAGGCGGUCAGGUAAGUGGAAUGUGAAAGCCCUCGGCUCACCCGAGGAUCUGCAUUCCAAACUGCCUGGCUUGAGUAUGGGAGAGGAUGAGGGAAUUCCUGGUGUAGCGGUGAAAUGCGUAGAUAUCAGGAGGAACACCAAUAGCGAAGGCAGCUCGCUGGGACGUUACUGACACUGAGGCGCGAAAGCGUGGGGAGCGAACAGG